AUGAUAAUGUGCUUUUGGUCCUGGAGUUUGACUCUGGUGACUACAACAGGAAAGGACCUGGAAUCUGUGUCUCCUGUCUUCCAGAUCACGCUGGACAAAAUGGAACCUUUUCUUCACAUGCAGAGUGUGGAUACUAUAUUGUGCUUUUCUCUUUCCAGUGGACCCUUUGAGUCUCAACUACCCCGAAUGCCACUCUGGUCAGUCCUAGAACAUCUUUCCUGUUGAUAUUUUAUGUAGUUCUGUUUGAAUGUAUGCCUCAUUAAGCAACAAAGCUCCUGAGUGGUUCUCAGAAAUUAGUUUUCCAAGUGGAAACCUGAGGCAUUCACUGCUUCUCCUGUGGCUGUUUUUACUGAUGAAAGCCAUAGUUAAAUCUAUGGUACAGUAACGUACUAAGGCCCCUGCAAAGUUCAGAGUUGCUCUGUGGUAACCACACCUCAAAUAGAAGAGUAGAGCAAGAAGAGGAAUGGCUUGGAUGAAACAAAACGUGCCCAGGAAAGUCUUGUUUGUUAACAGUGCUGCUAACCUACUAGAAGUACAGUACAACCAAGUACUUUAAAAGCACUGCAUUGAUUUUAAACCUUUUGAGCAAGGGAUUGUUAGUGUUUGGUGGGCUGUAGCCAUGGGUCUGUCUUUCUUUCCUCUUGCUGAUGUGCUCUUUCACAGCCAAGCUGAACCAAGGGAAAGCCAUGGGACUACCCUUUACAGGUCACCCCCUCAAAGUCUCUUCUCCUUCAGCUUGCCAACAUAUAGGUUCCUUUUCCUCUCAGGCUUAUGAAGAAACUCAGGUGACAUGUGCCAUUCCUCUCCCAGCAUCUCAACAGGGAGGGGGCAGGACUGGAAAAGAGUUAGGGGAAAAAGGACAAGGAUAUUAGAGGCAUGGAGCAGCUUCUGCUGGAGGAAUGGUGGGAUAAGCCAAGGUGCUUGAGCACACAAUAGAGAGGGAAACAGGGAGAGGCAUGGAAAAAUACAGAUCUGUGGCUCAAUACGGGAGAUAGGGGUUAUUAGAUGAAGCCAGAGUGGCUGCUUCAAUCAAACAAAAAACAGUGGUUCCUCACAACAGAAGCAGCAAUGCACUGUAACUGCUUGUCGCAGGUUGCUGUGAGUGCUAAAAGUUUGUUUGAGAACUGCGUAAGUUUAUAGAUGAUUAUGACAGACACAGAAACUUGUUGAAGUGUGGAUUGAUAAAAUCUGGGAGAGUAUUUUGGGAAAGUACACUUAUAAGCAG
rnacentral:lncRNA from 1 species